rnacentral:rRNA from 1 species
AUCCGUAGGGGGCGAGCGUUAUCCGGAAUUAUUGGGCGUAAAGAGUACGUAGGUGGCCACCUAAGCGCAAGGUGAAAGCCCGGGGCUUAACUCCGGCGAGCCUUGUGAACUGGGCGGCUUGAGUGCAGGAGGGGAAAGUGGAAUUCCUGGUGUAGCGGUGAAAUGCGUAGAUAUCAGGAGGAACACCGGUGGCGAAGGCGACUUUCUGGACUGUAACUGACACUGAGGUACGAAAGCGUGGGGAGCAAACAGGAUUAGAUACCCUGGUAGUCCACGCCGUAAACGAUGAGCACUAGGUGUUGGCGUAGAAAUACGUCGGUGCCGAAGUUAACGCAUUAAGUGCUCCGCCUGGGGAGUACGCACGCAAGUGUGAAACUCAAAUGAAUUGGCGGGG